GACGAACGCUGGCGGCGUGCUUAACACAUGCAAGUCGAACGCUGAAGCUCAGCUUUUGUUGGGUGGAUGAGUGGCGAACGGGUGAGUAACACGUGAGUAACCUGCCCCCUUCUUUGGGAUAACGCCCGGAAACGGGUGCUAAUACUGGAUAUUCACUGGUCUUCGCAUGGGGGUUGGUGGAAAGGGUUUUUCUGGUGGGGGAUGGGCUCGCGGCCUAUCAGCUUGUUGGUGGGGUGAUGGCCUACCAAGGCUUUGACGGGUAGCCGGCCUGAGAGGGUGACCGGUCACAUUGGGACUGAGAUAAGGCCCAGACUCCUACGGGAGGCAGCAGUGGGGAAUAUUGCACAAUGGGCGCAAGCCUGAUGCAGCGACGCCGCGUGAGGGAUGGAGGCCUUCGGGUUGUGAACCUCUUUCGCUCAUGGUCAAGCCGCAACAAUGGUUGUGGUGAGGGUAGUGGGUAAAGAAGCGCCGGCUAACUACGUG
rnacentral:rRNA from 1 species